AUUGAACGCUGGCGGCAUGCCUUACACAUGCAAGUCGAACGGCAGCACGGGUGCUUGCACCUGGUGGCGAGUGGCGAACGGGUGAGUAAUACAUCGGAACAUGUCCUGUAGUGGGGGAUAGCCCGGCGAAAGCCGGAUUAAUACCGCAUACGAUCUACGGAUGAAAGCGGGGGACCUUCGGGCCUCGCGCUAUAGGGUUGGCCGAUGGCUGAUUAGCUAGUUGGUGGGGUAAAGGCCUACCAAGGCGACGAUCAGUAGCUGGUCUGAGAGGACGACCAGCCACACUGGGACUGAGACACAGCCCAGACUCCUACGGGAGGCAGCAGUGGGGAAUUUUGGACAAUGGGCGAAAGCCUGAUCCAGCAAUGCCGCGUGUGUGAAGAAGGCCUUCGGGUUGUAAAGCACUUUUGUCCGGAAAGAAAUCCUUGGCCCUAAUACGGUCGGGGGAUGACGGUACCGGAAGAAUAAGCACCGGCUAACUACGUG
rnacentral:rRNA from 1 species